rnacentral:lncRNA from 1 species
AAGCCUUAUCCACGUCAUUUUCGGAAUCGUUCACUAUAAACGCUUCGACAAGCUGGAGCAGCUCGGAGUAGACGCGGUCGGCACACUCGGCUGAGUCGUUGAUGUCGACGAAGUCGAGCGUGUGGAGGACGAGUUUAGCCGCGUCGGAGUACAGAGCCUGGAUAUAGUGGCCGGACUCGUUGGAGUCGAUGAGGCUGUUGAUGUGCUCGUGGAGUGGAAGGAGAGAGCAUUGGCUUUCUUCGUUCAACGGUUGCGAUUGAAUGCGAAGAUCGGACGGUGGGGGAGCGAGGGUGCAGCGCAAGAGCCGCAGCUCGUACCCGCGGAGGAUUUCCAGUUGCUUUUCGGCCAUCAAGGUGAAGUCCCUGGAAACGAACGAGAGGGGGGUUUUGGGUUUUAGCUUUUAGUUUUUAGUUGGUUAAAACAGCCUUUCGGUGAUAAAGGUAACGAAAAAUAACCCGCGUGAUCCAGGUUUUGAAUUAAUAUUUGCUUUUAAAGUCUUCACUCUGAAUUAUGUGACUGAUAAAUUAUAAGGGAAAAAAGCAUUUAAUGUUGGUAUUUAAUGAUUAUGUAAACAAUGGAGAUUGUGCAGUUGUUGCAGAUGAAUUAGAUUCAUAUUUGGAUGAGAAAGUUAUAUCUCGGAUGGAAGAUUUUAAUAUUUUGAGUUGGUGGAAGACAAAUGCUAAUAGGUAUCCUACAUUAGCUCGAAUUGCUAGAGAUAUUUUGGCAAUUCCAAUUACAACAGUUGCUUCUGAAUCAGCUUUUAACACUAGUGGUAGAGUUGUGAGCCCAUACCAUAAUAAACUUCAUCCAAGCACAUUGGAGGCUUUAAUGUGCUGUCAAAGUUGGUUACGAGCUUACAAUAGCGGUAUGAGUUUAUUUUAAUAUGAUUAAUUUAAAAUCAAAAAUAAAAAAAUAUAUUAAACUAUUAGUUAUUCGGGGACCGGGGACCCUCGGGGAUCCCUUGUUAUUAUUCGGGGAGGGGAUGGAGAUUCUCUCAAGCAAUUCUAACGGAGACAGGGAGGGGAUGGGGACAUAUGCAAAAUAUCGGGGAUGGGUAUGGGGAGAUUGGUCCCCUCCCCUCCCCUCCCCAUUGCCAUCCCUACGUUACACUGAGUGAACCAAAAAAGGGCAGCAAUUGAAAGACACAUGAGCAGAAUAACUCGACAAGCCUUAUCCACGUCAAUUUCGGAAUCGUUCACUAUAGACGCUUUGACAAGCUGGAGCAGCUCGGAGUAGACGCGGUCGGCACACUCGGCUGAGUCGUUGAUGUCGACGAAAUCGAGCGUGUCGAGAGCGUGUUUAGCCUCGUCGGAGGACAGAGCCUGGAGAUAGUGGCCGGACUCGAUGGAGUUGAUGAGGCUGUUGAUGUGCUCGUGGAGUGGAAGGAUAGAGCAUUGGCUUUCUUCGUUCAACGGUUGCGAUUGAAUGCGAAGAUUGGACGGUGGGGGAGCUAGGGUGCAGCGCAAGAGCCGCAGCUCGUACCCGCGGAGGAUUUCCAGUUGCUUUUCGGCCAUCAAGGUAAAGUCCCUGGAAACGAACAAGAGGGGGGUUUUGGGUUUUAGCUUUUAGUUCUUAGUUGGUUAAAACAGCCUUUCGGCGAUAAAGGUAAUGAAAAAUAACCCGCGCGCUCGAGAUUUUGAAAACUAGUACUGAACAACCAAGAAACGCUAAACUACACGUCCUGCAAU